rnacentral:rRNA from 1 species
GACGAACGCUGGCGGCGUGCUUAACACAUGCAAGUCGAACGGAAAGGCCCUGCUUUUGUGGGGUGCUCGAGUGGCGAACGGGUGAGUAACACGUGAGUAACCUGCCCUUGACUUUGGGAUAACUUCAGGAAACUGGGGCUAAUACCGGAUAGGAGCUCCUGCUGCAUGGUGGGGGUUGGAAAGUUUCGGCGGUUGGGGAUGGACUCGCGGCUUAUCAGCUUGUUGGUGGGGUAGUGCCUUACCAAGGCUUUGACGGCUAGCCGGCCGGGGAGGUUGACUGGCACCAUUGGGACUGAGAUACGCACCAGACUACUACGGGAGGCAGCAGUGCGAAAUAUUGCACAAUGGGCGGAAACCUCAUGCAGCAACGCCUCGUGCGGGAUGACGGCCUUCGGAUUGUAACCCGCUUUCGCCUGUAACGAAGCGUGAGUGACGGUAAUGGGUAAAGAAGCACCGGCUAACUACGUG